rnacentral:rRNA from 1 species
UAAGAGCUUGCUCUAAUGAAGUUAGCGGCGGACGGGUGAGUAACACGUGGGUAACCUGCCCAUAAGACUGGGAUAACUCCGGGAAACCGGGGCUAAUACCGGAUAACAUUUUGAACCGCAUGGUUCGAAAUUGAAAGGCGGCUUCGGCUGUCACUUAUGGAUGGACCCGCGUCGCAUUAGCUAGUUGGUGAGGUAACGGCUCACCAAGGCAACGAUGCGUAGCCGAUCUGAGAGGGUGAUCGGUCACACUGGGACUGAAACACGGCCCAGACUCCUACGGGAGGCAGCAGUAGGGAAUCUUCCGCAAUGGACGAAAGUCUGACGGAGCAACGCCGCGUGAGUGAUGAAGGCUUUCGGGUCGUAAAACUCUGUUGUUAGGGAAGAACAAGUGCUAGUUGAAUAAGCUGGCACUUUGACGGUACCUAACCAGAAAGCCUCGGCUAACUACGUGCCAGCAGCCGCGGUAAUACGUAGGUGGCAAGCGUUAUCCGGAAUUAUUGGGCGUAAAGCGCGCGCAGGUGGUUUCUUAAGUCUGAUGUGAAAGCCCACGGCUCAACCGUGGAUGGUCAUUGGAAACUGGGAGACUUGAGUGCAGAAGAGGAAAGUGGAAUUCCAUGUGUAGCGGUGAAAUGCGUAGAGAUAUGGAGGAACACCAGUGGCGAAGGCGACUUUCUGGUCUGUAACUGACACUGAGGCGCGAAAGCGUGGGGAGCAAACAGGAUUAGAUACCCUGGUAGUCCACGCCGUAAACGAUGAGUGCUAAGUGUUAGAGGGUUUCCGCCGUUUAGUGCUGAAGUUAACGCAUUAAGCACUCCGCCUGGGGAGUACGGCCGCAAGGCUGAAACUCAAAGGAAUUGACGGGGGCCCGCACAAGCGGUGGAGCAUUUGGUUUAAUUCGAAGCAACGCGAAGAACCUUACCAGGUC